AAUUAUGAUAUAGUAUAGUUACAUAAUAAUGACACUGUACAUAUUAUUUGCGUAUAUCUUAAAGAGAUUCAGAAAAUAUAAAGAUUUGUAUUUAGAAACAUGCAUUUUUUAAGUAAAGCAUAAUAGGAGGAAGGUACUUUUGAUUAAAAUUAAACCUUAUGUGUAAAAAUAAAUCAGUAAAAAGGGGAAAUAAACACAUGAAUGAUUUAUGUUAGCGGGGGAAACUGUUGUUCAAAUAUUAGCUGAUAUUGAUAUCCGAUAUUAAUACUGCUGUUAUGGCCAAUUAUCAUUAUUUAACAACAUUAUUGUUUUCCAACACUUUCAACACUAUAAAAGCAACAAAACCAGUAGAUUACCUCUGCUUCAGUUAAACUCCCAUAAUCCUGUGCUUCAUCACUAUCAGAGUCACAUGACCGACCCAAACAACAAGAUGGAAAUAAACUCAGAUUAUUUAUAUCAGCCCAGGUUUACUAAUCAGAUCGAUACGGAUAUGUUACUAUAUGACUAACAUUGGUCGAUACUGAUAUUAUUGCCAAUAUGUGUAUCUAUUAACUGGUACUGCAUGUAAACAACAUGAGCUCAAAAUGCGACACCUACAGUUAGCCUCCCAAAGGAUUGUGUUUAAUAAUGGAUAAGAGGCUUAUUAAUUAUUAUUUAAUAACGUGUCACUCAAAGAAAAGCUGAGGAUAACAGCUACUUCCAUGAUACUAUUUGUAUUUAAUUUCCCUUUGGGAUAAAUACAGUAGUUUUGAACUAGAAAGGAGGAAUUCAGGUCUGCAGGAAUAUUUUUUUAGUUUCUUGUGUUGAGUUGCAGAACGUUUGUCUUUAGAAAACUAAAACGGUGCGAAGCAGGUAGAUCUCUGUCUGCCGGUCCUGGACCUGCGGCCCGCACUGACCAACUUCAUCUUAACACCAAAAACAGAAUUAUUUUCCACGCCGGACAUUGUUUGGGCUGAAAGAAAAUUAUUGUUUCCUCCAAAGCCACUCAAGUCUAUUUUCUUUUAUGUUUCUAAAUCACAAAUGUGCAUACUUGAAGUAAAGAACGACUUAUUUUUUGAUCUCCACGUUUUCCAUCUCAGAAGAGCUUAGAAUCUUCAGAAUCACAAAACGUCCCAGACUUGUUCAUGGUUUCGUUGUGGUCAGUCACAUUUACAAAGCAUCACCACCUUAGGAUGAACAAAGAAAACAAUAACUGAUAUAAAAGAUUAAUAUUUUCAUGCCAGGUUGUAUAUAUAAGCAUGUUGUGUUAUUGGAGUUUCAUGUUAGGUGUUUGUUAGUUAAUGGGUUAAGUAAUCCUCAGCUGGAAAGGUUUGGGGCAGCAAUGGCCAAAAGGCUCAGAAGGAGGAUUUCUUGUAGAAGGGGUUGACAGUCGGGUCGCUCUCCUUCUCACUGAAUGGGUUCUUCACUUUGCAGGUGAUGGUUUCAAAGCUCCAAGUCUCUUCAGAAAUGGUGAUCACCUUUUCCUCCUCCUCCCACUCUCCAGCUUCUCCUUUCUUCCAGAAGUACUGGACGGGCUCAGCGUCUUUAAAGUCGAUACCACAAGCCAGGAUGCAUUCAGUGGAACUGCGAUCGUAUGUCAGAGGCCUCAUGAUGACUUCAACAGGGUAGUCGUCCAGUGGUGAAGAAACUCUCAGUUACAAAAAGAACCUUCUAGAUGCUGAGAGACCGGCAUCGCCGUGGCAACGACCCCAGAGCCACAGGAGCAGAAGAAGAAGAGGCGGUCCUAAAGUAGAAGAAGAAGAAAGGCUCUGUAUUUAGUAAAAAAUAAAAAGUGACAAAACAAUAAAACAUUUAAUAUUUAAAAAUUACAAAAUCAGAUGGACCAAAUUACAGAUUUAUGUGGAAAUAUUGUAGUUUUGAAGACCAAAUUUAAAAUACUAAAAACUCAGAGAUGGGUAGUAAGUAGUCAAAAUUACUCAAUUACAUUGGAAAAAUAUACAUUUAUUAGUAUUUUUACUAAGCUGUAUUUUUUUCUACUUUUACUUGAAAUAUUUUAUUCUGAAGUAUUUCUACUCUUAUUUGAGUAAAAUUUGUGGGUUUUCCACCCACUGAAUGAAAAAUUCACCAGACACAGAAACACCUGCAGGGUUUGUUGAAGUUUCAUAAGAUUUUGUAUUGAAAGAAACUGAUAUGGAAAUUUUGUCUUUUGCCUGAUUUUGCUACUUAUAUGAAAUUAUUGUAACUUUGGUCCUGAAAAUGUCAAAAUUUUCACUUAACUUUACAUUUUAGUCCAUCUGAUGAUGUAUUUUUUAAAUAUUAAAUGAUUGAUAAUUUUAUCAGUUACUCAGUAUUUGCCUAAACUUUUUAAUAAGUACUUUUUUACUCCUGAGUAUUUUUUUACUGCUAUUUGAAGUACUGCUUCUCUUACUCGAGUAUAAUUUCCUCUAUCCGCCUGUUCUGGAAGUUUUUACUGCGUUUCUGCUCUUAAACCAUCUUUGCGCGCAGGAUUUAUGCACAGACUUUGUUUUUAAUGCACAAAUUUUCCGUAAAGAUCCCCACUUA